GAAAUGCGAUAAGUAGUGUGAAUUGCAGAAUUCAGUGAAUCAUCGAAUCUUUGAACGCACAUUGCGCCCCUUGGUAUUCCAUGGGGCAUGCCUGUUCGAGCGUCAUUUGUACCCUCAAGCUCUGCUUGGUGUUGGGUGUUUGUCCCCGUCUCCACGCGUGGACUCGCCCCAAAGUGAUUGGCAGCCGGCGUACUGGUCCCGGAGCGCAGCACAUGUCGCGCAAACGAGUGCCUUGGUACGGCGGCGUCCAUAAGCCCCUCUCUCACGCUCUUGACCUCGGAUCAGGUAGGGAUACCCGCUGAACUUAAGC
rnacentral:misc_RNA from 1 species